rnacentral:rRNA from 1 species
GAAUGCUGACAUAAGUAACGAUAAAGCGGGUGAAAAGCCCGCUCGCCGGAAGACCAAGGGUUCCUGUCCAACGUUAAUCGGGGCAGGGUGAGUCGACCCCUAAGGCGAGGCCGAAAGGCGUAGUCGAUGGGAAACGGGUUAAUAUUCCCGUACUUGGUGUUACUGCGAAGGGGGGACGGAGAAGGCUAUGUUGGCCGGGCGACGGUUGUCCCGGUUUAAGCGUGUAGGCUGGUUUUCCAGGCAAAUCCGG